rnacentral:rRNA from 1 species
UAUCCAGCUCCAAUAGCGUAUAUUAAAGUUGUUGCAGUUAAAAAGCUCGUAGUUGAAUUUCGGGAUCAAUAUGUCGGUCGUGCCUCGGUACGUACUGGNUUAUUGGUUUCUCCUUUCUGAAGAACCAUGAUGUCAUUUAUUUGGUGUCCUGGGGAAUCAGGACUGUUACUUUGAAAAAAUUAGAGUGUUUAAAGCAGGCUCACGCUUGAAUACAUUAGCAUGGAAUAAUGAAAUAGGACGUUUGAUUCUAUUUUGUUGGUUUCUAGGAUCGACGUAAUGAUUAAUAGGGAUAGUUGGGGGCAUUAGUAUUCAAUUGUCAGAGGUGAAAUUCUUGGAUUUAUUGAAGACUAACUACUGCGAAAGCAUUUGCCAAGGAUGUUUUCAUUAAUCAAGAACGAAAGUUAGGGGAUCGAAGACGAUCAGAUACCGUCGUAGUCUUAACCAUAAACUAUGCCGAGUAGGGAUCGGAUGAUG